rnacentral:piRNA from 3 species
CUGGGGAUUGUGGGUUCGUGUCCCAUCUGGGUC